GUCACCAUCUCUCGAGACCCUAGACCGCCUCCUCGAUUUGGCUCGGGAAGAUUUCUCCUCCAGUUGCAAUCUCGCUGUUAUGAUUUAGGGAAAUGUCGGAGUCCAAGAGACGAGUGCUUCUGCUGACGGAUAACGUCUUCAUUCCUGUCAAUGCGGUGCUCGCUUCUGCGAUCGAUUCGAGUCUGGGAUUGGAUUUGUCCGCUCGAGACGACGUGUUCGUCAAAGUUGCCCCUUCCUUUCGUUCUUUGUUGGGAUUGACUUCAUUCCUUGCGGCAAGGCAGUUGUCCAGAACUUCUAUUUAGUGAUUCAUAGGGUUUACAAUUGAAGCAGCUGCAGACGCAUUAAUCGCCGAAGUAAUCUUUUGGCAUCUAAAAAGUGAUCUUGCGACUAUUUGCGCAAUUAUAAUUAAUUAGGGUAAAUGGUUGGUUAGAGGGGGAAAGUUGCCCAUUGAGUCUGGAUCACUGGAUGUAACUGUGUCAGUCUCCAAGUCACUUGAACUUGUUGAUGAGGAAUGGGUUGAGUAGAUCUCAAGAGUGUUUAAACCUGAUGGAACUGUUUAAUUUCAGACUUCUUAUGAGCAGAGUGGAAAUAAGCCAGCCAAGAAGAGAGAAGUGAAAGUCACUCGAUUGCAGCAGUCUUUGAUCACAAAACAUCUCAUACAGGAAAUGUUUAGAGUAAUAGAGCUGCUAGGACAUGUUUUCUUCUGAAAAGCUUCAGCUGUCCGACCUUGCCGAGUCUAUGGCAUAAGGAUUCAAUGGCUUUUAUCAGGCUAACCAUUCAAAAGGUAGCGCACCGUUGAAGGCGAGGCCGCAGGCAGCGACGACGCAAGUCUGGAUGACGGUGUUCGCCUGGCGGGUGAAGGGGACACGGACACAAGCGUGCUCCAACGCCUUGGGCCACACCUUGACGAAGAAGAAGCCGAGGAGGCCGGAGGUGACGUUGAGGGAAGGGAUGAUUCCCGUCAUCAAGUUCAGCUCCAUCACGAUCACACUCAACAUCACCGAUAGCCCCAAGCUCACCACUAGGGCGCGGACCGUCACCUGCUCCCACCAUGCCGGCACCCUCACCCCAUCGAACGCUCGCUCCACGGAUGGUGCCGGAGCACUUUCCUCUAUUCCUUCUCCAUCUCCUUGUCCGUCUUCACCAUCUUGUUUCAACGGCUUGUACCGGCAAUAGGAAAAAUUGUUAUAAAUACAUCGUAGUUAAAAUACCUUGUAAGAAUAUAUAGAGAGAUAUCUCAAUAGAAUUGUUCGCUUUAUUUAAUAUUCACUUAA